rnacentral:rRNA from 1 species
CUUGGUGUUACUGCGAAGGGGGGACGGAGAAGGCUAUGUUGGCCGGGCGACGGUUGUCCCGGUUUAAGCAUGUAGGCGGAUGUUCCAGGUAAAUCCGGAACGUUACUAACGCUGAGGUGUGAUGACGAGGCACUACGGUGCUGAAGUGACAAAUGCCCUGCUUCCAGGAAAAGCCUCUAAGCAUCAGGUAACAUCAAAUCGUACCCCAA